UACGUAGGGUGCGAGCGUUGUCCGGAUUUAUUGGGCGUAAAGGGCUCGUAGGCGGCCUGUCGCGUCGGGUGUGAAAGCCCACUGCUUAACGGUGGGUCUGCUUUCGGUACGGGCGGGCUAGAGUAUGGCAGGGGAGACUGGAAUUCCUGGUGUAGCGGUGGAAUGCGCAGAUAUCAGGAGGAACACCGGUGGCGAAGGCGGGUCUCUGGGCCGUAACCGACGCUGAGGAGCGAAAGCGUGGGGAGCGAACAGG
rnacentral:rRNA from 1 species